rnacentral:pre_miRNA from 18 species
CUCCACUCUAUGCGGGUUGCCGUAUACAGAAGCAUCGAUUUUCACACGCCAUGAUGCGCCUGUGCAAAUCUUUUGCAACUGUAUACGGCGAUUUAGCAGACCAUAUUG